UACGUAGGGAGCAAGCGUUGUCCGGAAUCAUUGGGCGUAAAGCGCGCGUAGGUGGCCCCGUAAGUCCGCUGUGAAAGUCAAAGGCUCAACCUUUGAAAGCCGGUGGAUACUGUGGGACUAGAGUACGGAAGAGGCGAGUGGAAUUCCUGGUGUAGCGGUGGAAUGCGCAGAUAUCAGGAGGAACACCUGCGGUGUAGACGGCUUACUGGACCGUAACUGACGCUGAGGCACGAAAGCGUGGGGAGCAAACAGG
rnacentral:rRNA from 1 species